CCUCAAUCUCUGCCUCUGGAGUGAGUUUCCUCCCCUUGGCUAAUUCUGUGAAAUUCAAGCAAGCCCCCCCCCCCCCCCUUGUACAUGUACAGGGGGCUCCCCUAUACAACCCGCCUGUACAGGGACCAUCCUAGGGUCUCUGCCUCCACUCAUUACAAAGCUUACAUUCCCAAGCACAUUAUAGCCUCACUCUUGGGAUGCCGCACGAGAUUUUACCUUUGAGGUUCUCGGAAUUCUCAAGAUACCUCCCCAGGUGGGACCCCCCUCCCAAGGGGUGUACUCCCACACCGAUCACGAUCACCCAACCUAUACCUGUGGAUUCACCCUUGGGGGAGCACCCUCACUCCAUCACCGUGUGAAGGUUUUGUCCAAAGUCUCCCACAGAUCCUUUCAUGGAAUCAACAUGGAAAAAACUGUCACGAGAACAUGAGUUCUUUCUCCAGGCAUGAAAAUGAAAGAGCUACCUGGAUAUCAUCUGAGUACUAAAAGCACAGAACUUCCAGAUGAUUUCACGGCAGAAGACCGUACUGGGGUCCCCUGACCACAGUUUGUUCCACGUUUCUAAUGAGACAAAAAUAUUGUAUUCAUCUUUGAAUAAUGGUCACACAGAAUAUUGCAAAUACCAAUCAGAUGUUCAACUCUUCCAGAGUUUCUAGAGGAAUCAGAAUUCCCUCACAGAUGCCAUCUACAUCCUGCCUACAAUGUGGCCAAAAGCCAUUUUGGAUUUCAAAGGUUUUCCCACCAAACUUCCACCUUCACAACAUGAUCACUACAUAAUGAGGUGGAAAAACCCAUUUUACCCAGUGCAUUCUAGAGAAUGAAGUGAAAAACCCCGCAGGUUUUUGGGGUGAAUCAGAAGAGAGAAUAAACUGAAAGCUGCCAUCUCAAAGUGAAAACCUCAGAUUUGCUGCCAUCAAAAACUCGGAGAAAGAUAAAAGGUGGAUUUGUCUUCAUGGCAUUUCACCUUCUUUAGCAACUGGUUCCUUUUCUGAGACAUUUGCACCUUUCUUGAAAACUUUGCCCUGCACUUACUUACCAUAAGUAAAUAGACUCAGUUAAAAUCAUGGAGAGAAAGUGGAGUAGAGCAGGGUAAGAGCCAAAAUGAAGGCUACAUUGGGAUUCCUUCCAAAGGGUGUCCAAAAGCUACUUACAUCUUUAUUGACUCUCCCAGAAAUUUUCUACUCUGGACUUCAAAUAUUUUGUUAUAGAAAUAACUUAUUCUAGAAAUCUAACAGGGCAGAACAAGCUAUCACUAAGUCUGUGAAUACCACUGCUGCAUAUGAGCUUUAUCUCACUUUUAUUCUUAGAUCACCACUGUUGUAGUAAUCCUAUUAGCAUCCUUUGCAAGCUGACAGCUCUGUCAGUGCCUAUGUACACAUUUUGGUAUUUCUCUGACCAAAAAUAUCUGAAAUCUCCUCAGACAUCAUUAUAAUCGAUGUUCAUUUUAGAGGACAGGAUGUUUUGUCAAUAACUUUGUGGUACAUUCUUGCCAGCGUUGAAAUCCAACUCUGCCAAGUAAAAUCUGUCAUUUAAAGGGCUACAUGAUGCUUCGCAGGAGGGGCUUGGCAAGGUUUGCCUUUUGUUCUACAGACAAAUUCCAAAGCUCCUGAAAUUUAUUAAGAUUCACAACUGAUACGCUGACCACUUAAAGGGGGCAUCAGAGAAGGUGCAAAGAUCAGAUUUAAAACCUAUUUAAAUAAAGUUCACUGAUGUUAGGUCAAGGAUUUGGAUUUUGCACAGUGUGUUCAGAAUAUAUUCAGAGUAGUUCUGCAAAUUCCAACUGACGAAACAGUAAGUGUCUAAAGAACGGUACUGAAAUAAGUCAAAAGCUGGAAGUAUACUAGCAUAUACCAAUGCUUUAUCAGUAACAUAGACGAUGGCAUUGAGUGCACCCUCAGCAAGUUUGCAGAUGACACCAAGCUGAGCGGUGCAGUCAAUACGUUGGAAAGAAGGGAAGCCAUCCAGAGGGACCUGGACAGGCUGGAGAAGUGGACCCAUGAAAACCAAAUGAGGUUCAAUAAGGCCAAGUGCAGGGUGCUGCACUUGGGUUGGGGCAAUCCCAAGUAUUUAUACAAACUGGGGGAAGAUCUCCUUGAGAGCAGCCCUGUGGAGAAGGACUUGAGGGUCCUGGGAGAUGAGAAGCUGGACAUGAGCCAGCAGCGUGCACUUGCAGCCCGGAAGGCCAACUGUGUUCUGGGCUGCAUUAAAAAAGGGGUGGCCAGCAGGGAGAGGGAGGUGAUUGUCCCCCUCUACUCAGCUCUUGUGUGGCCCCAUCUGGAGUACUGCAUCCAGGCCUGGGGCCCCCAGUACAGGAAGGACGUGGAGCUCUUGGAGCAGGUCCAGAGGAGGGCCACUAAGAUUAUCAGAGGGCUGCAGCACCUCUCCUAUGAGGAAAGGUUGAGGGAACUGGGCUUGUUUAGUUUGGAGAAGAGAAGGCUCUGGGAAGACCUCAUUGUGGCCUUCCAGUAUUUGAAAGGAGCAUAUAAACAGGAGGAGGAAGGGCUGUUUGCAAGGGUGGAUAGUGAUAGGACAAGGGGGAAUGGUUUUAAACUGAGACAGGGGAGGUUUAGGUUGGAUAUUAGGAAGAAGUUUUUCACCCAGAGGGUGGUGACACACUGGAACAGGUUGCCCAAGGAGCUUGUAGAUGCCCCAUCCCUGAAGGCAUUCAAGGCCGGGCUGGAUGUGGCUCUGGGCAGCCUGGUCUAGUGGUGGGCGACCCUGCACAUAGCAGGGAGGUUGAAACUCAAUGAUCGUUAUGGUCCUUUUCAACCCAGGCCAUUCUAUGAUAUAUAUGACAAAGGUAAAAUUGCUCUUCUAUUGUUGUAUGUCUGUGAUGAUUUUGAAGACAGACACAGCAUCAACAAGCAGGACAACAGGUUAAGAAGGAGACAGAAUUGAAGAUAGACUUCCUUCACAUUUUAUUUUUUUCUCCCUCAUUUAUCAAGACAGGAUGUCCAGAUUUUAGAGAAAGGAGAGCAGCAAGUGGCUCUGCAGGGACAAAUGGGACAGACAGAUACCUCUGGCAACUGGCCCAAAGCAGAGGUUGGACCCUGUCUUUCUCCCUCCCAUCCAUUUCGUUUUGAAAGCUGCAAGAUUCUAGGGCUGUUUCCUGGUAGGCAGACAUACAGAAAAUGCUGUGUCUUCUAUGGAAAGGCAUCUGCUGCUAAAAUCAUGGACAAGACAAUAGUUCAGGGGCCCACAUUACAUCCAGACAUCACAGCCUCAAUAAGUGUCCUGAUGCUUCAGGAUGCAUACCUACUUCUUCAGGUUCAGAUUAUUCAGAUUGGAUAUUAGGAAAAACUUCUUCUCACAAAGAGUGGUGGUGCACUGGCACAGGCUGCCCAGGGAGGUGAUGGAGUCACCAUCCCUGAGGUGUUCAAGAGCUGUGUAGAUGUGGCACUGAGGGACAUGGUUAGUGGAGAUGGUGGGGAUGGGUCACUGGUUGGACUGGGUGAUCUUAGAGGUUUUUUCUGACCUUGAUAAUUCUAUGAGUCUUCAUUUGGCACAUUUAACCCUGUACUCUUUUA
rnacentral:lncRNA from 1 species